GAAUAUCACUUUUGUAGCAGUCCUUGUGUUCUUAUCAUCAAGCCAAAAAAAGCUCUUGUUAAAUGGAUAUGAGGUGACAUAAGGCGAGAUAAGAUUAGUUUCCUGGGCUAAUGUCUAAACUCUUAGUUCCUAUCUUUUCUUUGCUUUUAUAAUUUUAUUUACUGAACUGUAAAAUUUCUUAUUAUAAUUCCUUAAUUACAAAUAAAUAUGCUUCUAGGGAGGAAAAGUAGUAUGAGUGAAAUUAAAAGUAAAUAUAUUAGACAUAUCAGAGGAAAUGCAUGUUAAUGAAGACAAUUCCUUUAGUUAUAUAUAUAAUUAUAUAUGUGUGUGUAUCCAUAUGUGUAUAAAACAAUGAGAUUGUCUUGUUUUUAAUAAGAACCAGGAGUACAACAUUGCAAAGGCUUCAUGCUGCUGUUUUGAAGUUUCAAGUAGAUUCUGACCUCUCAAAAUUUUAUCAGCCAAAUUGAUAAUUCUGUUAAUCCUAUAUGUUUUUCAGUAUUAUUCUCCUAGGCUUUAAAACCAAUUGUGACAACUCAGAUGACCUUCACAAUAAGUCCAGAAUGGCAGUGCAAAACCAGUAGAAGCUCAGUGCAGAACUGAAGGGAGGAAGCAGCUAAGGUGAAGCAAGUUUCUGUCUUAAAAAACAGAGCUUCAGUUCUGAUCCCCAAAACAGUGUCUAAUCCACAUUAUCAUGUCUAAUGGCACAUGGUCAUCUGGGCCUUGCAUUAGCUUUUGUUCUUUUUUUUCCCAGCUGCCCCCACAGCAGGUGGAAGUUCCUGGGCCAGGGAUUGAACUCGUACCUCCACAGAGACAAGCUGGAUCAUUAACCCAGUGCACCACAGCAGGAACUCCUCCAUUAGCUUUUGGCAUGCCUGUAAGAGUUUUUAGAAUAGAUUGAUACCAAACAGCAGGCAAAUAGUAAGAUUCGGUAUAUCAUAGCGUGGCUGUUGAUUGUUCUCUUUUUCCACGUAUUCCUGAGGUGAGCCUGCUCUCCAAGAAAUAGAGGUUUGCAUUUAGCUCUGGAGAUAAUCCAAGCUCUUAUACCUUUUGAUGAUAGUCCUAGCGAUUGUUCCCUCAUCUGAGAGGUUAAUGAAAAUAGGAGAAGCACAAUGGAAUUUGCAGCUAGCUUUGUUUUCCCCCUCUCUUUUUUGUUUUUGUUUUUUGUUUUUUGUUUUUAGUUGGGGGGGGGUGCAUCACGAAAAGUAGUCAGUUGUCCACUUGUCCUGGCGGGAUGAGGAUGGGGCGCUGACCUUCCCUGGUAGGUAACACAGUCAUUUCCAUUAUCAUCUAAUUCCAGAGAAUACUGAGAACACAAUUGUGCUUCCGAAGACAGAAUCUUUUCUUCUUUUGAAGAGCAGGGAUCUGAUUUCCUUGCUGCUGAUAAUUUGAGCCAGGUGUGACCAGAACUUUUGUGGUUGUCUGUCAGGUUUCAGCAUGGAGGACAAGAAAACAGUAAGGACAAGGAUAUAAGAUGUAUCUUGGCCAGAACCUGGAAGAAGGGAUUAUAGAGGGGGCAUUUGAGCUGUCAGGGUCCUGGAAAGUGGUCUGAAGGUAGUAUUGCCUACCUGCUUGUAUAAGGUGAACUAGGCAUUAGUCAUGGGCUCAAGGCCAGUUUCACUUUCUGGCCUUCACUUCACCUGGGGUUCUUGCCCAUCAUCCAUGUGGGCUUAUGAGGGAGAACUUUGACUGUGUAUCUAAACCAGUGGGGCAGUCACCUUAGGAUAGGGCAUGGCCAUCAAUGGCUUCUUGGAAAGAACAGUCUACAAUGUCUGCCAGACAACUUUAAGACCAAAGAGAAGCCUGAAACUUAGUGGGAUGUUGGGAAGGGGCCCCUGCAUUUACAGGCUGAACCAAGCCUGCCUCAGCAUAGGCACUGGGAUUUGAACAUCUCUAUUAAUGCUUCUUUCUCCUCCCUGAAGAUCUUCAGGAGGUCAGCACUGCACAACCCCCUCUCCCCUGCCACAGCCACAGGUAGUGUGCAGCUCAGCCUCAGAAUCACUCCAGGGAAGCUUACAAAGUAUAGUACUUUCUCCAUGUGAAAAUUGUGAGGUGUUCUUGACUGUGCAUUGUGCCUUCAGGUACAGCAGAAAGGAUAACCCAGGAACAAUGAAUCAUUUGUCCUUUUAUCCAAUAGAUGUUUUCAGUAAUUAAUUUUUAUUUAUUUUUAAUUGAGGUGUUGAUGUACAUGAGAUAAAUUUUUAAAUAUACAACCUAGUGAUUCAUAAUUUGUAAAGGUUAUUAUUUCAUUCAGUGUUAAUAUAAAAUAUUGUCUAUAUUUGCUGUGCCACACCAUAUAUCCUUGUGGUUUAUUUAUUUUAUACAUAGUAGUAUGUGUCACUUAAGGUGACUCGAGGGAAUCCAGUCCUCCUGGAGACUAGAGUUGUAUGGCUGUAUUGGGAGAUGGUCAAUAAACAAUUAAAUGCCUACAUGUUAUUUAAAAUUUAUGAUAAAUUUGGGGUAAGAAAGGAAUAAAGUACUUUGAGAGAGAGAAAGACAUGAAGCAAAGGAAGAGCAGAUCUGCCUAACUUUAUUCUGGGCCAUUAGGAACACUGCACCUUUUCCUGUUAGGAUGUUCACAUCAUGCUUUUUGGCUUUAUGAUAGUUUUGUGCACUGCUGUUGAUGAUCAGAAAAUGAUCUUUCAUCCCAAGCAUGGAUUAUAUUCAUUUCUAACAAUCUGAAAGCAUUGCAUUUGGGUCAGUUACCAACAACGAUGAUUAUAUUUUACUUUUACCAUCUGUUCAGUUAUUGAUCCAUGAUGAUGUGCCAUCUCAAUUUCUACUAAUUAAAAAAUAAUGUUCUCAUGCUCACCUAGCAUCCCAAAUUGUCUCAUUAACAUUAUUCUUUUGAUGAUACUUACUGUAAGGCCUCCUGGGCUUUUAAUUCAUUGGACAGAUGUAUCAUUCUAAAUUCUUCUGAGAUCUAACAUAUAAAAAUAUUCAAAUUCCUAGGGUCUGUUUCAUCACCUUUGCUUUCACUUCACUGUGGAGUAGACUCGCUACUCGCAUCUUACAGGCAAGAAAGCUAAUGGUAAAAGAAUUAAACAUCAACUGAAACUUAGACAAAUAUAACUGACAAGUGUAAAACCCCAACUCCUUUCACUCUAGCAUCAGCAAUGGUUUCCCUGUUGACCCAGCUUUCUCUGCUACCCUUGCAGGUUUAUUUUCAAGCCCAGACAACUUCUUUCACACAUUAUUUUUGCCCUGAUGUUUUAUUAAUGAUAUUUAGACUUUUUUUUGGGGGGGGGUCAUUUUUCUUUAUCCCCUUUAGUUGGUACUUCGAGAUUAUUAUCAAUGGCCCAGAGGAACUGAUAGACACUUCAUCUCUCUUUACCUCAGUCUUUUCUUCUGUAAAAUGGGCAUUCGAUACUACCUGCCCCGUAUAAGCAUUAAAUGAGAUAAUUCAUGAAACAUCAUACAUGUAUGAUAUUAUAUAAAGUUUCAAAUGUACAACAUAGUGUAAUUUUUAAAGGUUAUAGUUCAUUGGUAGUUAUUAUAAAAUAUUAGCUAUAUAUGCAGUUCUGUACCAUAUAUCCUUAUAUUUUAUUUAUUUUAUACAUAGCAAUUUGUUUCUCUUAAUCCUCUCUCUCUAUCUUAAUCUUGCCCUUCCCUGAAAACCUCUCCCCACUAGUAAGCACUAAUGUAUGAGUGUGGUUUUUUGCUUUUGUUACAUUCACUAGUUUGUUUUAUUGUUUAGAUUCCACAUAUAAGUAAUAUAUCAUACAGCAUUUGUCUCUCUAUUGUGUCUAUUUUUUCCUAAGCACUGAGGCUGGCAUUGGUUAUUCACUUGUCCAAAAACAAUAUAUAUAUAAUUUUUUUAUCUCUCCAUGUUAGAAAGAAACUCAUUUUUUUUUCCAAAUAUGGUUUUGCAUGUCUAAAUGAUAUUUUAAAAGUCUGUUUAUUCAAGAAGGAAUACUCCGUGUUAAGGGUUAUCUCUGGUUCACUACAGACCCUUCACCCUUUAUUUAAUUUUUUUUAAAUUCAAGAAUGCUUUACUGAUACUGUUCAGUUUUUGCACAUUAGAAUUUUUAAAAAUUUAAUUGUAUUUUUAAAAUAUAAUUUUAAUGAAAAUAUAGUUGAUUUAUAGUGUUGUGACCUUCACCCUUUAGAUGUCAUCAAAAUGCCUAAACCUGCAAGCACAAGAACUGGGUAAAAAGAGCUGAGUCAUGGGACUCUCAGGUCCAUAAAAGCUCCAGAUUCCUCUUGCCAAAGUCCACUUCAAAACUCCUCGCUGGAGGAUUUUCUCAGUCCCUGAUUUACCUUCUCAAUGAACUUGUCCCACUCCAAGGGGUUUUAGAUGGAGACUGGAUUUGGACUGUUGAGCUGGCCCAAUGUCAAAGGCUGGUUUUAGUAAUGGCCCUGGCUUGGAAACCACAGGCAAAGAGGCACUGCCCACCGCCCAUCUAUUGUUCCCUUUUCCCGAAUGAAGGGAUAAGAAAUCAGUACCUUCUCUUUAUCCUCAUCCUGUCUUCAGCGUCUGACCCUUAUUACUUAUUAAAAUAUCUACACAAAUGAAACCAGCUUGAAAUGUCAGCCAAAAUUAUAAAGGGAGACAAAGAUGGAACAAUUGAUUAAAAGGAGAUCCUUGAAUCAGCAGGUACCAUUUAUGCAUUUCUACCCUCUUGUGUCAUAGGAACUCAGUGGAGAGUGUACAGUGUACUGAAGGAAAUAAGGUCUGGGAACUUGCAAUUUUUGACUCUGCAUAUUGGCUUUGCCAAUGAUCAGACUUGUGAUCUUAGAUCACUGCUUUAAAAUUGAGUAUCCUCACUUGUCAAGUGGAAGGGAAAUCUGCUACCUUGUGGGUAGUUGUUAGACAUAAUAAAAAGUGCCAACUACAGAACUUGACAUGUGCUUAAAAAUGGUAGCUCUUAUUAGAAAUACCAAUCAUGCAAAACUUCCGCAAGCAAAAUAAAAUGAUGUUAAUUUUGAGAGAUCAGUCUCUACUGCAUGAACAAGGAGUUUCUUGUUAAUCCUUGAAAAAAGGUCACUAACGGUCUUCUUACACCUAAAUACGAUGCAUAAGUUAUUUCAGGUCUCCGUGUACUUGAUGUCUUGUUAUCUCUUGUUACUAUAGCCACUGCCUCUUUGGAAAAUUCUUAGGUUUCCUUGGAACAGAGCUGGCCAGAAUUCUAGUCAAAGGCACUUUUUUUUUUUAGGGCAUGCCUGUGGCAUGAGGAAGUUCCCAGGCUAUAAGUCAAAUCGGAGCUACAACUGCCAGCCUAUGCCACAGCAGCUGAGGAUCUGAGCCACAUCUGUAACCUACACAACAGCUCACAGUAAUGCUGGAUCCUUAACCCACUGAGAGAGGCCAGGGAUCAAACCUGAAUCCUCAUGGAUACUAGUUGGGUUUCUGCUGAGCCACAAUGAGAAUUCCUGUGAAAUACAUCUGAAAGCUGACUCCAAUCCUGUGACCAGUUCCAGUUCUUCAAUGGGGAAGACUAACGUGAUGAUCUGGUAUAGGAGCAGUGAUGGGGUGGUGUGAUGUGGAAUUAGAAAUUCUCCCCCCUCCCCAUCCCACACCUUGCCAUUAUUUGGGACUUUUUCUGUUUAUCGUGUGAUCAAAUUUGCACUAUCUGCUUUUAGUAAUAUCCUUUUUUGUGAUGAUGCCUAACAACUGAGACGUAUAUUUUUCCUCAUCUACCUCACAAUGAUGCAACCCCACAUUAAGAAUCUACAUUUUUCAAGAUUGUAUUUUUGCACCCCAUUCAUCAUGAUAAGCCAGAAUUUAACACUAUUUGUAUUGUGCAGGAUCUUGCACGAAGAUCUUUCUUCAUUUUGUAUCAAGGAGCUGUGUAACUUCAUGAUUAAGCAGCAGGGGUUCUAGAACUAGAUUGCCCAGGUUUGAUUGCUGGCUUUAACCCCUUGUAACUGUGUGCUUUAAUUUUCUUAUCUGUAAAAUGGGCCUAAUAAGAAUAUUACCUCAUAGGGUUGUUAUAAGAAUUAAGCCUGUUAAAUGAUGUGAAGUUCCUGUACAGAACAAAAUGCUAAUAAAUGCUAUAUAUUAUUAACAUUAUUCAACAAAUUCUCCCCGGACACUCUUUUACAUAUACAGAUGACUUUCAUUUAUGAAUCUUUCUCCAACACAAACCCUCUCUGGAAUUCAAGGUUUUUUCCCACCUAACAUCAGAUAUGUUCAUUUGGAUGUAGUUCUGUAGAUGUCUGGGACUCAACACACGGAAAUCAAAAGACAUUCUUUUUGGAGUUCCUAUUGUGGUUCAGCAGGUUAAGAACCUGACAUAGUCUCCAGGAGGAUGUGGAUUCAAUCCCCAGCCUCGCUCAGUGGGUUAAGAUCUGGUGUUGCCAUGAACUAUGGUGUAGAUCAAAGACAUGGCUCAGAUCCUGCAUGGCUGUGGCUAUGGCAUAGGCUGGCAGCUGCAGCUCCGAUUUGACCCCUAGACUGAGAAGUUCCAUAUGCCACAGGUGUGGCCGUAAAAAGAAAAAAAAAA
rnacentral:lncRNA from 9 species